rnacentral:tRNA from 1 species
GGGCGAAUGGCUCAGCGGUAGAGCACCUGCUUCACAUGUAGGGGGUCACAGGUUCAAAUCCUGUUUCGCCCA